rnacentral:rRNA from 1 species
UACUGCUAUCGAGGUUCGACUAAGCCAUGCGAGUCGAAUGUAGCAAUACAUGGCGAACUGCUCAGUAACACGUGGACAACCUGCCCUUAGGUUGGGUAUAAACCCGGGAAACUGGGUAUAAUACCCGAUAGGUCUCGAUUGCUGGAAUGCAUCGAGAUUUAAAGCUCCGGCGCCUAAGGAUGGGUCUGCGGCCUAUCAGGUAGUAGUGGGUGUAGCGUACCUACUAGCCUACGACGGGUACGGGUUGUGAGAGCAAGAGCCCGGAGAUGGAUUCUGAGACACGAAUCCAGGCCCUACGGGGUGCAGCAGGCGCGAAAACUUUACAAUGCUGGCAACAGCGAUAAGGGAACCUCGAGUGCCAGGUUACAAAUCUGGCUGUCGAGAUGCCUAAAAAGCAUUUCAUAGCAAGGGCCGGGCAAGACCGGUGCCAGCCGCCGCGGUAACACCGGCGGCUCGAGUGGUAACCGUUAUUAUUGGGUCUAAAGGGUCUGUAGCCGGCCGGAUAAGUCUCUUGAGAAAUCUGGCAGCUUAACUGUCAGGCUUUCAGGAGAUACUGUCUGGCUCGAGGCCGGG